CCGGCGUAAAAUGUGGUUAACAUAUCAUUACACUAAAGCUAAACAUCUUCAAAGCUGUUAUACCCACACGAAGACAGGAAACCCUUCUACGAAAGUGGCUUUAAAUAAUGCUAACCCACGAAAACUAGGACA
rnacentral:rRNA from 1 species